CUCAUCAAGGUGAGACUGCAGCUCGUGUACCUCAACGAGCAGCUGUUCAUCAAGGUGAGACUGCAGCUCGUGUACCUCAACGAGCAGCUGCUCAUCAAGGUGCCCUUCCUGCAGCGCUUCCUGCCACACCUGCAGCUAUUCGGACGCAAGCAGCGGCGGCUGCUCGUCAAGAUCAACUCGUCGCCCUACAUUGGAGGGAUUAUUUACGACGACCAGAAGCAGUUCGUGUGCUACCUGGACGACCGCACGGUUGAAGUAAUCAGGAAUCACCGCCUCAACAGGAUCGCAGCUCAACGUGAAGAGCGCGUGAUCGCAGCUCAACGUGAAGCUCAGGAUGAGAUCCAAAAAAAUAUCGCAGCUCAACGUGAAGCUCAGGAUGAGAUCC